rnacentral:rRNA from 1 species
AUGGUGGGUUUGGAGAGUAGUGAUAGUUUCUCCCAUCUCGUUGAAAGAGUUGUGAAUCGACUUAAAGGUUGGAAGGAAAAGUUGGGUCCUUUAAGUGGAAAGGAAAUUCUUUUGAAAGCAAUUAUCUAAUCUAUCCCAGUUUAUGACAUGACUAUUUUUAAAAUUCCAAAUAAAUUAUGUAAAGAAAUCACAGAUGCAAUGGCGGCUUUUUGAUAGGGGGACACAGAGGAAGAGAAGAAAUUUCACUGACUAGCUUGGUGGAGGAUGUGACUUCCAAAAGAUAAAGGAGGUAUGGGGUUCAAGGACCUCCAUGCUUUUAACUUAGCUAUGCUAGCCAAACAAAGUUGGUGAAUGAUAACCCAUCUGGACACUUUGUGCUACUGUCUUAAGAGCAAAAUAUUUUCCUGGGAGAAAUAUUUUUAA